rnacentral:rRNA from 1 species
UACGGGGGGGGCAAGCGUUGUUCGGAAUUACUGGGCGUAAAGCGUGCGCAGGCGGCUUUGCAAGACAGGUGUGAAAUCCCCGGGCUUAACCUGGGAACUGCAUUUGUGACUGCAUCGCUGGAGUGCGGCAGAGGGGGAUGGAAUUCCGCGUGUAGCAGUGAAAUGCGUAGAUAUGCGGAGGAACACCGAUGGCGAAGGCAAUCCCCUGGGCCUGCACUGACGCUCAUGCACGAAAGCGUGGGGAGCAAACAGG